rnacentral:tRNA from 1 species
GCUGGUGUAGCUCAGCGGAAGAGCGGGGGAUUUGUAAUCCCCAGGUCGCGGGUUCGAAUCCCGCCGCCAGCUCCA